AGAAAAAAAAAUCCCAAAUAAUAAUUUUCUGAGACUGUUAAGCCUAAGCCCAAGCCCAAGCCCAACAGUAUUUUCCGUGGGCCAGAUGUGGGAUCAAGCCCAUAUUUUCUGCCACGAAAGUUCCCCCCGACUUGAAAAGUCGCGAUUGCAACUCGCGCCAAAACCAACACCGGAGCGACGCCGAUUACAGCCGGACGGACGACGGAGUUCAAUAUAUGCGUUCUUUAAUUGGCUUGUUGACUGUAAAGAACAAAUUUAAGCUGAGCCAUCCUCUGAAAGGAUCAUACGGUAGUCUGGCUCUGGCCUCGUCAAAAUAAUGGCAAGGAGGGAAGAAUGAUUCUGAGGGAGGGUCUGUGGUUACCAAAGAGAAAUCACGCCCAAUUGUAGCAUUCAGUGCAGCCCUUGGAGAAGGGAAUCUCUAUGUCCUUCCAUGCUGCCGAUUGAUAGAUUAGAUUUGUCAAUCUAUUAGACUGAUAGAAUAUGAAGUUGAGG